UAGAGGAAGUAAAAGUCGUAACAAGGUCUCCGUAGGUGAACCUGCGGAGGGAUCAUUACAAGAACGCCCGGGCUUCGGCCUGGUUAUUCAUAACCCUUUGUUGUCCGACUCUGUUGCCUCCGGGGCGACCCUGCCUUCGGGCGGGGGCUCCGGGUGGACACUUCAAACUCUUGCGUAACUUUGCAGUCUGAGUAAACUUAAUUAAUAAAUUAAAACUUUUAACAACGGAUCUCUUGGUUCUGGCAUCGAUGAAGAACGCAGCGAAAUGCGAUAAGUAAUGUGAAUUGCAGAAUUCAGUGAAUCAUCGAAUCUUUGAACGCACAUUGCGCCCCCUGGUAUUCCGGGGGGCAUGCCUGUUCGAGCGUCAUUUCACCACUCAAGCCUCGCUUGGUAUUGGGCAACGCGGUCCGCCGCGUGCCUCAAAUCGUCCGGCUGGGUCUUCUGUCCCCUAAGCGUUGUGGAAACUAUUCGCUAAAGGGUGUUCGGGAGGCUACGCCGUAAAACAACCCCAUUUCUAAGGUUGACCUCGGAUCAGGUAGGGAUACCCGCUGAACUUAAGCAUAUCAAUA
rnacentral:rRNA from 1 species